rnacentral:lncRNA from 1 species
CAACUGGCCCCAAUCCUCUGGUUUCCAUCACUUGCCUUAAAGAAGAAGAGAAUGAGAUGGUUUCCGCACCGGAAAGAUGCUCUGUUGCAUUUCAGCUUUGGGGAUGGGGGUCUUGCUGAAUGCAAGCAGAGAGUAAUAAUAAUUGAGCGCCUACUCUGUGCCAGACACUGUUCCAAGCACUUUACAUAAAAAAUCCAUUUAAUGCGCCAACCACAACUGCAUUUCCUUUGGGUCACAAAUAACUGAAUAAACUGGCAGAAAGUCCACUUCAGGCGCCGUUUAAGUCACUUGAUUUUCCUUUGGGGACUCUUAGUAAGAGACAGGAAGUGCCACCCCCCCCCCCCGGGGGGCCAGAGACCGCUGUAUAUUUGGCGACCAGCAAAAAGGGCGAAUGACCGAAUGAGGGCGGGAGGAAGGUGUGAAUGGGCUCUGCUAGCCCAGAAACUCAGCUGCAGAGACAACUUUUCUCUUGUCGGUGAUCGUGGGCGACGGAGAGGGGGCGGCGGCCUUCCUAACCUCGAGCUUGUCCCAUUAACCCUUUAUGAGCUUUCCCCCUGGUCCGCCACUGCCACAUCUAAGGGCAGCGCGCGCGCGCGUGUCUGUGUGUGUGUGUGUGCGUGUGUGUGGAGUUGGCGAUCGAGGGUCACGCGCAGGUGGCUCUGCGGCGGUGGUGGCGGCGGUCGCAGAGGCGACACCGUUGGAGGCAGAGGCAGAGGGCCGGCCGGACCACCAUCCCUGCGGGCGGUGAUUUCACUUCAGAAGGCCAGCAUGGAUCUUUUGAGGAUGGGCCUUUGGCCAAAGCUCACUUGUCUGGUUUAGACCUCCUAGAACCUCCCAACUCAUCCUGCUCAAACCACGUGCUGAAAG